ACGGGGUGCAGCAGGCGCGAAAACUCCGCAAUGCGCGAAAGCGUGACGGGGUUACCCCGAGUGCCGUCCGUUGAGGAUGGCUUUUCUCUAGUGUAAGAUGCUGGGGGAAUAAAGGGGGGGCAAGUCUGGUGUCAGCCGCCGCGGUAAUACCAGCCCCCUGAGUGAUAGGGACGAUUAUUUAGCCUAAAGCGUCCGUAGCCGGUUUAGUAAGUCUUUCGUUAAAUCUGACGACUCAAUCGCCAGGCCGCGGAAGAUACUACUAGACUAGAGGGCGGGAGAGGUUGACGGUAGUCCUGGAGUAGGGGUGAAAUCCUAUAAUCCCGGGAGGACCACCAGUGGCGAAGGCGGUCAACUAGAACGCGCCUGACGGUGAUGGACGAAAGCUGGGGGAGCGAACCGGAUUAGACACCCGGGUAGUCCCAGCUGUAAACGAUGCGGGCUAGGUGUUGGAGCAGCUACGGGCUGCUCCAGUGCCGCAGAGAAGUCGUUAAGCCCGCCGCUUGGGAAGUACGGCCGCAAGGCUGAAACUUAAAGGAAUUGGCGGGGGAGCAC
rnacentral:rRNA from 1 species